CCUACGGGGAGCAGCAGUGAGGAAUAUUGGUCAAUGGACGGAAGUCUGAACCAGCCAUGCCGCGUGCAGGAAGACGGCUCUAUGAGUUGUAAACUGCUUUUGUACAAGGGUAAACCUGAAUACGUGUAUUCUGCUGAAAGUACUGUACGAAUAAGGAUCGGCUAACUCCGUGCCAGCAGCCGCGGGAAUACGGAGGAUCCAAGCGUUAUCCGGAUUUAUUGGGUUUAAAGGGUGCGUAGGCGGAUUGAUAAGUUAGAGGUGAAAUGUCCGAGCUUAACUCGGGAACUGCCUCUAAUACUGUUGAUCUAGAGAGUAGAUGCGGUAGGCGGAAUGUAUGGUGUAGCGGUGAAAUGCUUAGAGAUCAUACAGAACACCGAUUGCGAAGGCAGCUUACCAAUCUAUAUCUGACGUUGAGGCACGAAAGCGUGGGGAGCAAACAGGAUUAGAUACCCCUGUAGUC
rnacentral:rRNA from 1 species